rnacentral:rRNA from 1 species
AACGAACGCUGGCGGCAGGCCUAACACAUGCAAGUCGAGCGCCACCUUCGGGUGGAGCGGCGGACGGGUUAGUAACGCGUGGGAACGUACCCAGAUCUAAGGAAUAGCCACUGGAAACGGUGAGUAAUACCUUAUACGCCCUUCGGGGAAAGAUUUAUCGGAUUUGGAUCGGCCCGCGUUAGAUUAGAUAGUUGGUGGGGUAACGGCCUACCAAGUCUACGAUCUAUAGCUGGUUUUAGAGGAUGAUCAGCAACACUGGGACUGAGACACGGCCCAAACUCCUACGGGAGGCAGCAGUGGGGGAUAUUGCACAAUGGAGGAAACUCUGAUGCAGC